rnacentral:rRNA from 1 species
GCCUGUUUAACAAAAACAUGUCCUUUUGAAUUUUUGUAAUAAUAUAAGGUUUAACCUGCUCAAUGAUUAAUAAUUUAUUAAAUGGCCGCGGUAUUUUAACUGUGCUAAGGUAGCAUAAUAACUUGUCUUUUAAUUGUAGGCUUGAAUGAAUGGUUGGACAAAGUAUUAACUUUCUUUAUUUUAAUUAUUGAAUUUUAUUUUUUAGUUAAAAAGCUUAAAUGUUUUUAAGGGACGAGAAGACCCUAUAGAUCUUUACAUUUAUUUAUUUUAUUAAUUUUUUAGUUUAUAAAUUAUUAUUAUUUUAAGUAUUGUUUUAUUGGGGUGAUAUCAAAAUUUAAAUAACUUUUGUAAUUUUUUACAUUGAUUUUUGUUUUUAAUGAUCCAGUUUUAUUGAUUAUAAGAUUAAGUUACCUUAGGGAUAACAGCGUAAUUUUUUUGGAGAGUUCUUAUUGAUGAAAAAGUUUGCGACCUCGAUGUUGGAUUAAAAUGUGUAUUUAAAUGUAGCAGUUAAAUUACUAGGUCUGUUCGACCUUUAAUUUUUUACAUGAUCUGAGUUCAGACCGG